GACGAACGCUGGCGGCGUGCUUAACACAUGCAAGUCGAACGGAAAGGCCCUGCUUUUGUGGGGUGCUCGAGUGGCGAACGGGUGAGUAACACGUGAGUAACCUGCCCUUGACUUUGGGAUAACUUCAGGAAACUGGGGCUAAUACCGGAUAGGAGCUCCUGCUGCAUGGUGGGGGUUGGAAAGUUUCGGCGGUUGGGGAUGGACUCGCGGCUUAUCAGCUUGUUGGUGGGGUAGGGGCUUACCAAGGCUUCGACGGGUAGCCGGCCUGAGAGGGUGACCGGCGACAUGGUGUUUGGGGUUCGACCAAGACUACGACGGGAGGCAAUAGUGGGGGAUGUUUCACAAUGUGCGGAAGCCUGAUGCAGGAACGCCGCGGGCGAGAUGACGGCCUUCGGGUUGUAAAUGGCUUUCGUCUGUGACGAAGCGUGAGUGGCGGUAAUGUGUAAAGAAGCACCGGCUGACUACGUG
rnacentral:rRNA from 1 species